AUGGCUUCAACACUUCCAGUUUGUUCAUCGCAUCCAGAUUCUGCGUCGCCUCUUCCUCGCUUUGGCCUCCUGAUAAGAACACAAUCCCUGGCACUGCUGGUGGAACGGUUCGGCGAAGUGCGGUUACUGUGUAUUGCGCAAUCACCUCUGGUGCCUCCUGUGGUGAAUCGGUACAUGGUUUUUCAGACAUCAGUAUAAUAUAGGAAUUUCAUUGAUCGUAUACAUGAGAUAACAUAUGGGGUUUUACACUACCUUUAGGCUGUCAGAACCUGGAGUGACCAUGUUGGGCUUCAAAAGGGUGCCCUCGAGUAAAACAUGGUGAUCAUUCAGCGCCUUGUAAACAGCGGCAAGCACGGUUUCAGUGACAGCGGCACAUUUUUUAAUAUCAUGAGGGCCAUCAGUUAGCACCUCAGGCUCAACAAUGGGGACGAGCCCAUUUUCCUGACAAAUGAUGGCAUAACGAGCCAACCCCUGCGCGUUCUGCUGGAUAGCCAACUCGGAUGGCUCGUUGGGACCGAUCUUGAGCACUGCACGCCAUUUGGCGAAACGCGCACCAGCUUUAUAGUAUUGCUGACAACGCGCACCCAAGGAGUCGAACCCUUGAGUAGUGGUCUCGCCAUUG
rnacentral:lncRNA from 1 species